GUUAUCCUAAAAUUUGACAAGAACAAAAAUACACCAUGCAAGACUAUAAAGAAAUCUAUCACUAAAACGACCAAAAAUUCCAACUCUCAAAUGUCAAGGAACUUCUCAGAAUCCAAUAUGUCUACAAAUGAGAUUGUAACAAACAAAACAAAACCGUUCCCAUGUUCACAAUGUGGGAAAUGUUUUCGCUCAUAUUCACAAUGCGUUGUCCAUCUCAGGAGUCACACAGGAGAAAAAAGUUUUGUAUGCUCUGACUGUGGAAAGUCCUUUUGCCAUCACUCACAACUUGUGAUCCAUCAGAGAUCCCACUCAGGAGAGAAACCUUAUCCAUGUUCUGAAUGUGGAAAAUGUUUUAGCCGGCACCCGCAUCUUGUGAUCCAUCAGAAAACCCACACAGGAGAGAAACCUUACUCAUGUUCUGAAUGUGGGAAAAGUUUUACUAGUAAACCAAGUCUUAAUAGACAUAAUCAGAAAACCCACACAGGAGAGAAACCCUUCUCAUGUUCUGAAUGUGGGAAAAGAUUUGUGGGUAAAUCGGAACUCGUUAUACAUCUGAGAACCCAUACGGGAGAGAAACCUUUCUCAUGUUCUGAAUGUGCAAAAUGUUUUGCACAGCUCUCACAUCUUAUUAAACAUCGCAGAACCCACACAGGAGAGAAACCAUACUCAUGUUCUGAAUGUAGGAAAAGUUUUAGUGUUCGAACAAAGCUUCUUAAACAUCAGAAAAUCCACACAGGGGAGAAACCGUUCUCAUGUUCUGAAUGUGAAAAAUGUUUUGUUAACAAACCAAGUCUUAUUAAUCAUCAGAGAACCCACACAGGAGAGAAACCGUUCUCAUGUUCUGAAUGUGGAAAAUGUUUUGCAACUAAAAUGGAGCUUAUUACACAUCAGAGAACUCAUACAGGAGAGAAGCCUUUCUCAUGUUCUGAAUGUGAAAGAUGUUUCACUCAGCAUUCACAUCUUGUAAUACAUCAAAGAACCCACACAGGAGAGAAACCUUACUCAUGUUCUGUAUGUGGAAAAUGUUUUGUAAGUAAAUCAUGUGUUGUUCAACAUCAAAGAAUCCACACAGGAGAGAAACCGUUCUCAUGUUCUGAAUGUGGAAAAUGUUUCGUCCGUAAAUUAGAGCUUGUUGCACAUGAGAAAACCCACACAGGAGAGAAACCUUACUCAUGUUCUGAGUGUAAAAAAUGUUUUGUCAGUAAAUCCUAUCUUGUUACACAUCACAGAAUUCACACGGGCGAGAAACCUUUCUCAUGUUCUGAAUGUGGUAAAUCUUUUGUUAAAAAAUCUGCACUUGUUCGACAUCAGCAAACUCACACAGGUGAGAAAACUCCUAACACAGUAUAAUGCAUCUAUAUAUUAACAUUAUAUAACAUUAACAAUUAAAUGCUGACAAAAUAAAUGAGUGUGAGAGUAACAGUUAAUGUACAAAUGAUGGUAUCGUGAUAACCCUGCAGAGCCCCUCUUUACCUCCUUCCCCUAUAGUAUUACGGUUAAAUUUGAAAACCACUUCCAUGUUCAGCUCUUGCUUUGUUUAAUGUUUGUUUUUGUUGUUGCGCAUAUUAUCUGGUUAGCCCCUUGACGACCGGUGACGGCUCUGAACCGUCAUAAAGGUCACGUGUACUUACCCGAUCGCUGUCGUUCCCUCGGCGGUGCUCCCGGUGUGGGGAGACUGCGUGCAGCCCAGACAGUCUCUCCAUGGCAAAUUAGGACCCCGGGGGCCAUGUGAUUGCUCAACAGAGCGGUCAUAUGGUCACAAUAGGUAUCCUAGUGACUGCCUGUGCUGUCAGGCAGUCUCCCUGCAAGUGUAAAAUAAUAAAAAUAUAUAAUUAUAUGUAUGUGUGUGUGUGUG